CUACGGGAGGCAGCAGUGGGGAAUUUUCCGCAAUGGGCGAAAGCCUGACGGAGCAAUACCGCGUGAGGGAAGACGGCCUAUGGGUUGUAAACCUCCUUUUUCAGGGAGGAAUUUUGACGUGUACCUGAAGAAUAAGCAUCGGCUAACUCCGUGCCAGCAGCCGCGGUAAGACGGAGGAUGCAAGUGUUAUCCGGAAUCACUGGGCGUAAAGCGUCUGUAGGUGGUCAAGCAAGUCAACUGUUAAAUCUUGAGGCUCAACUUCAAAAUCGCAGUCGAAACUAUUAGACUAGAGUAUAGUAGAGGUAAAGGGAAUUUCCAGUGGAGCGGUGAAAUGCGUAGAUAUUGGAAAGAACACCGAUGGCGAAGGCACUUUACUGGGCUAUUACUGACACUCAGAGACGAAAGCUAGGGUAGCAAAUGGGAUUAGAUACCCCAGUAGUCCUAGCCGUAAACAAUGGAUACUAGAUGUUGAACAGAUCGACCUGUGCAGUAUCAAAGCUAACGCGUUAAGUAUCCCGCCUGGGAAGUAUGCUCGCAAGAGUGAAACUCAAAU
rnacentral:rRNA from 1 species